rnacentral:tRNA from 1 species
GAGGAUAUAGCUCAAAGGUAGAGUGUGUGCUUAGCAUGCACAAUGUCGUGGGUUCAACCCCCAAUACCUCCA